GAGCAGGAUGCGGCGCUCACAGCCGGCAGGAGCAGGGACUCCUCCAGGGCAGGAAUUCAGAGCUGUUGGGUCGCUUUCUGCGGAGUCUCACCCCAUUCGCUCCCAGCUGAUAACUCAGCAGGAUGCUGAAGUUUAACCUGAUUUCCAGCCACCAAAUCAACGUUUGAAUGCAAGCCUGACUUGAACAGACAGAAGAUAAUUGCGUUUAAUAAGCACGUGUGAAAUGAGAUGUUGGAGGCUCUGUGGUGAGAACACAAACAGACCCUUGAGAGAACAAUGGCAGAAUUGAGCGAUAACUGCACCCUCCCAUCCGCAGCUCUGCCACUCAUCUCUGCAGAGGAAAGGAAGUGGCAUCAAACUGUCCUUUCAAAAUGAGUCUGCGUUUAUGAUUCAGCGCUGUGCAGCAGCCCCAGGGCCAGCCCAGUCUUUCAGCUCCUAGUGGAGUGACUCCAUCAGAAUACCCAGUGCUGAACUCCUUUGCAUGUGUGCAUGAAGGCAGAAAGCACAUUGAUUUUCCUCCCAAGGAUAAGGGAAACAAAGGUCAGAGCUGCUCACACUCUAAUUUAUGCAAGAUUAAUGCAGAGAAUACAGCAGAGUUCACUUAAUGAAGGUGAAACAUGCAGAUGAGUGAAGAAGUAUCAGUUUCAGUUUUGAUUGCCCAGCUGAAAGAAUAUAAAAUAAUACAAUAAUGUAAAAUAUCUUUAAAAAGAAUUCCUGAUUUAGAGGUAAGCAGUAGUGUGCAAUCCUGUUUUGAGCUGGAAACAGGGAGCUCAGGCCUCGUUUCCCUCUGCUCAGCCUUUGGAAUAUCCUGCAUUUUCUGCUUCCACAUUGUGGAAAGCUGGGCACCGUUCUGUCAUUGGUGAGGCUGCACUGGUGGGACGAGGCUGUCUCACAGAAAUAUUCCUGUGCUAAUGCUCUCGUGGCUGCUGGAGCAAAUCCAGAGGUUUGUGUUAAUCAGCGUCUGCAGUCCUUAAAAAGAAAAAAAUUGCUGAUGAGCUCAGAAUGAUAAGAAAUGUCUGGCGUCUGCAGCAAAGUGCCUGGAGUGAGGAGUCUUCUCUCCACGGAUUGACCUUCUGGAGCUUCAAUUGUGCAUUUGCACUCACACCCAGCAGUGCUCUGCAGCUCAGGAUUGUGUUGUCAGCUGCCUUUAACUCUCCCUUUUGGUCUCUCUUUGCUUGCAGAGCUUUUCCUUAGCACAGUGACAGGGACACAGAGCAGACAAGUCAAAGCACAGGGAGAAAAAAGAACUUUGGUGUUACUGCAGCAGGAAAAAGCCACUGCCAGUGUCUGUGUGGAGCACUCCCAUUUGUACAGUCUGCUGUUGAAAAUGAAGCUCUGCUCUUUGGGAGGGAUUUAUUGUCCCUAAAUGGACAGGUAUGGAUUUACUGUGGCUUUGAGAGGCUAAAAUGAGUUUUGCUGCUGUGCAUUCCCAGGUGUGGCUCUGUGUCUCCUCUUGCUUGGUGACCUGCCCCAAAUCCAGGUCCUGUUCCGUCACCUCCUCCUGAGCCUCUCCCGUUAUUAUUGAUGGGCAACAAGCACACAAAAGUUCAGCCGUAAUUUCUCUCCUUAAAACCGGAAUGGAGGCUUUGGAAACAGCUUCAUUUUCAGCAAUGUGCUGCAACUUGCACUCCAAGCAGAAAUAAAAACGCCCAUUUCACUCUGUAACUGACUUUAAUCUCCAAAUUUGGCACGCUAGCUCCUCAGAGGUUAACUGAAUUUUCAGCCCACCAAACAGAAGUCCUUAAAAUGUUUACUGGAGUUCUGCUCAGAUUUUCUCAUGUUUCAUGGAUUUUCUGAACUAGUUCAGCCCGAUGUCAAGUUUUAAACAGCUGCCAGGCAUCUGAGAGACAGAAAACUCCUGAACAUGCAGCAGGAGCUCUGCAUUCAUCAGGAUCUGCAUUUCUGAGGAAUUCAGCAGCGUUCCCUGGGAUGGUGGUGCCUUGCUUUGGCUCUCCAGCUGCUCCCCAGUGGAUGGAAAUGCUCCUGUGUGAGGAUGAGAGGCAGCGCUCCCAGAACACUGAGGAACAACAGGGGGCUGCACACAGAAAGGAGAUUUCAUCAUCUUCCAUCUGCAGCCCUUUAAUAUCAAGAGACUUCCACAAAACUUGAAAUGAGUCUUUGAAAUGUUCCGUGCUGUGGAGGUAGAAAGCUCUCAGCAAAUCCAGUGCUGGUGAGGUUCUUGUCCAGAGGAGGUUUGGACAUCCAGCAUUCCUUGGUGGCCUUUGUCCUUUAUCCUGAGCUCAAAUUGAAGUGGGGAAGGCUCAGCCCAAGCUUGCUGUGCUGUUAUGGCUUGGAAGAUUUGGAAAAAAUACUAACAAUUUGGGAAAACAUAUAAAACAUUUAUGAUGAAAACGAUGAGAUUUGCUGCACACUUCUCUCUGCAGCUUUGCAGUGAUAAAUUCAAUAGAAUUGUUACUGCAAUUAUAUAUCAGGACACACAAAGUUUAUGCUUGCACAUAAAUAUGAGAUGAACUGUCCUGCCAAGCACUUUAAGUAGCAGCUGAUGUUUCAUUAUGUCCCUGAUUUACACCAACAAGGUAAGAUAUUUACAGUUAACUAACUCUGUAAAUAAUUUUGUCCUCUGAGAUACCUCGAUGUGAAAUAUGGUCAGGAAUGAACAACAAAACAAAGGGUUUGGAUUCAACAUAUUCUUUUAUUAGGAGCAAACAGCUUUACCUGUUUUUAUCCACUUGAAUUGAAUUUUGCUUUACACAGAAUUAUCUGAUUCUCCUCACUAUGUGUACCUAGAAAGGCUACACCCCCAAGCUCCAUUCUUACUGCCUGUUCUGUUAAACAGACAUGGUUUCAGCAAUCUCCAUUCCUUGCAGGAAAACGUGGAAUUUUGAUUUGGAUCUGGGUCUUUAGUUUUAGAUGAUUUUCCCCCUGAGAACUGUAGCUUUUAUCAUGACCAGUGUGAUGCUGUCCAGAAGGAAAAGGUGUCCUACCUGCGGAAAGCCAGGCUCUCAAACUCAAAUUGGGAAUUUAGAGAGUACAGAGGGAGUUGCUGUGUGUUAAAGCACUGGCAACAAUUCCAGAAUUGAUAACAAAUAAAUAAUAUAACUCUGCAAAGCCCACCAUGCAUUCUGGCAUCCUCCUGGCUGUGCUCUGCUGUA